rnacentral:pre_miRNA from 1 species
GUGAGCCACCACGAAGCAGAAGUGAAGAGGGCGGGGCGACCGAUCGGUCACCCCGCCCUCUUCGCGUGCGUCAGCUGAUCAGA